rnacentral:hammerhead_ribozyme from 1 species
AUUCAGCUGAUGAGUCCCAAAACGGGACGAAAUGCGGGUUCUGAAU